rnacentral:rRNA from 1 species
AUUGAACGCUGGCGGCAUGCUUUACACAUGCAAGUCGAACGGUAACAGGCCGCAAGGUGCUGACGAGUGGCGAACGGGUGAGUAAUGCAUCGGAACGUGCCCAGUCGUGGGGGAUAGCGCAGCGAAAGCUGCGCUAAUACCGCAUACGAUCUAUGGAUGAAAGCGGGGGACCGUAAGGCCUCGCGCGAUUGGAGCGGCCGAUGUCAGAUUAGGUAGUUGGUGGGGUAAAGGCUCACCAAGCCAACGAUCUGUAGCUGGUCUGAGAGGACGACCAGCCACACUGGGACUGAGACACGGCCCAGACUCCUACGGGAGGCAGCAGUGGGGAAUUUUGGACGAUGGGCGCAAGCCUGAUCCAGCAAUGCCGCGUGCAGGAAGAAGGCCUUCGGGUUGUAAACUGCUUUUGUACGGAACGGAAAGGCUCUGGUUAAUACCUGGGGCUCAUGACGGUACCGUAAGAAUAAGCACCGGCUAACGACGUGCCAGCCGCCGCCUAACAC